CCAGAAGCCGCGUCGGCCGCAAGGCCGGCGCCUUCGCCCAACCCUUUGUGAACCGAAUUGAUUGCCCCGGGGGAUCCCGCGCGAGCGGGCCCCCGGCGGACCUCUUCAACUCUUGUUGUCCCUGCCGUCCGAGUCAUUGCAAAUGAAACA
rnacentral:misc_RNA from 1 species